rnacentral:rRNA from 1 species
UACGGGGGGGAGCAAGCGUUGUUCGGAUUUACUGGGCGUAAAGGGCGCGUAGGCGGUCAGCACAAGUCAGUUGUGAAAUCUCCGGGCUUAACUCGGAAAGGUCAACUGAUACUGUGCGACUAGAGUGCGGAAGGGGCAACUGGAAUUCUCGGUGUAGCGGUGAAAUGCGUAGAUAUCGAGAGGAACACCUGCGGCGAAGGCGGGUUGCUGGGCCGACACUGACGCUGAGGAGCGAAAGCGUGGGGAGCGAACAGG